GGACGAACGCUGGCGGCGUGCCUAACACACGCAAGUCGAGCGGAGUCGGUAAGAGGAAGUUUCGGAUGGAAUCUAUGACUUAGCGGCGGACGGUGAGUAACGCGUGAGCGACCAACCUUGCACAGGGGAUAACGGACCGAAAGGUUCACUAAUACCGCAUGAGACCACGGUGUUGCAUGACACAGAGGUCAAAGGAGCAAUCCGGUGCAAGACGGGCUCGCGUCCGAUUAGGUAGUUGGAGGGGUAACGGCCCACCAAGCCUAUGAUCGGUAGCCGACCUGAGAGGGUGAUCGGCCACAUUGGAACUGAGAUACGGUCCAAACUCCUACGGGAGGCAGCAGUGGGGAAUAUUGGGGCCAAUGGGGGAAACCCUGACCCAGCAACGCCGCGUGAAGGAAGAAGGUUUUCGGAUUGUAAACUUCUGUCCUUGGUGAAGAGAAGAAGACGGUAGCCAAGGAGGAAGCCCCGGCUAACUACGUGCCAGCCGCGGC
rnacentral:rRNA from 1 species